rnacentral:rRNA from 1 species
GACAGAGGGUGCAAACGUUGUUCGGAAUUACUGGGCGUAAAGCGUGCGCAGGCGGUUUGUUAAGACAGAUGUGAAAUCCCCGGGCUUAACCUGGGAACUGCAUUUGUGACUGGCAAGCUAGAGUAUGGCAGAGGGGGGGUAGAAUUCCACGUGUAGCAGUGAAAUGCGUAGAGAUGUGGAGGAAUACCGAUGGCGAAGGCAGCCCCCUGGGCCAAUACUGACGCUCAUGCACGAAAGCGUGGGGAGCAAACAGG